rnacentral:misc_RNA from 1 species
AGCAGCCGCGGUAAUUCCAGCUCCAAUAGCGUAUAUUAAAGUUGUUGCAGUUAAAAAUGCUCGUAGUUGAAUUUCGAGAUCAAUUCGUCGGUCGUGCUUUUUUGGGUACGUACUGGUGUUUAUUGGUUUCUCCCUUCUGACGAACCAUGAUGUCAUUAAUUUGGUGUUAUGGGGAGUUAGGACUGUUACUUUGAAAAAAGUUAGAGUGUUUAAAGCAGGCAUUAGCUUGAAUACAUUAGCAUGGAAUAAUGAAAUAGGACGUUUGACCCUAUUUUGUUGGUUUCUAGGAUCGACGUAAUGAUUAAUAGGGAUAGUUGGGGGCAUUAGUAUUCAAUUGUCAGAGGUGAAAUUCUUGGAUUUAUUGAAGACUAACUACUGCGAAAGCAUUUGCCAAGGAUGUUUUCAUUAAUCAAGAACGAAAGUUAGGGGAUCGAAGACGAUCAGAUACCGUCGUAGUCUUAACCAUAAACUAUGCCGACUAGGGAUCGGAGGAUGUUAAUUUUUUUCAAUGACUCAUUCG